rnacentral:misc_RNA from 1 species
GAAAUGCGAUAAUUCAUGUGAAUUGCAGAAUUCAGUGAAUCAUCGAGUCUUUGAACGCACAUUGCGCCCCCUGGUAUUCCGGGGGGCAUGCCUGUCCGAGCGUCAUUGCUGCCCUCAAGCACGGCUUGUGUGUUGGGCUUCCGUCCCUGGCAACGGGGACGGGCCCAAAAGGCAGUGGCGGCACCAUGUCUGGUCCUCGAGCGUAUGGGGCUUUGUCACCCGCUCCCGUAGGUCCAGCUGGCAGCUAGCCUCGCAACCAAUCUUUUUAACCAGGUUGACCUCGGAUCAGGUAGGGAUACCCGCUGAACUUAAGC